UUUCUCUUCUCUUGACUAAAUUGCAGUUUUGGACAACCCACCAUGCCCGCCUUCUCUGAGUGCCAAUGACCUCAAACAACUCUGUCUUCUGCAGCCUGACCAGUGUCCUAAAGGGCAUCAUCAGUUCCAGCGGACUCUGGACUGGAGCCCCC